UUCAGUAUGGCAGAUUAGUGCAAUGAAUUUAAGAUUCAUAUAUAAAUUUUUAUGUUUUGCUGGAA
rnacentral:tRNA from 1 species